CAGCCCGCCUGGCGCGCGGGGCUCUGCGCGCUGCGACCCUCCCCGGCAGUCCCGCCCGCCUCUCCUCGCCCUCUCUCUGCCUGGCCUCCAACUUUGCCUCUCGCUAUCCUCUCCGCCGGCGCCCCCUUUCCCGGCGGUCCCCGGGAUGGUCCCCGGCACCCCGAGGACGCCGAGGUUACGGGAAGUUCGGGGACUGGCGGGAGAAGGGGUUUGGGGGUGGUCCGCGGCGAGGGGCGCGGGGUGCAUCUUCUCUUCCUUUUAUGGGCUGCCACACUUGUGUAUCCCUUCUUCCUUGAAUUUAACCAGGAGUGAGCAGUGGACAGCUUCUUCCCUAUGAGAAGGAGGUGAAGCAGGACCUGAAAUCCCGUGCUCAGCUCCCACAUGCCCCGUGUCCAGGACAAGUCCUUUGCUGAAUCAGCGGCAGACACCACCCGGAGCCCUGCGGGAGCCUUUCCCUGUUCUUCCAGCAUGGAUCUGAAACUCCCUUCCCACUUUCUGCAGCCUCCCAGAGAUAGUUCAGGCUCCAGCCUCAUGUGAUAGCAUGAAGAGAAACUGGUUCCAACAGCUGUGUGCUCUGCUGCCCUCAUCCCAAACAACAGUUUAAAUGCACAAUUACGCUUUUCUCUAAGGCCCAAAAUAGGAUAGGAAAGAUCGUUUUGCUAUCCCUGAAUGCCUGUCACCCUUGUUUCGUAAGCAGGAAGUCAGUCCCAGAAUAGUUGUUCUGCUCCCUCCCUUCUAAUAAGUGCUGCGCUGAGUGUGCUUGCUUUGCCAGAUGGUUAAAACAGAGCAGGGGAUAGAAGGACAGAUGUCUUCACCCUCAUGGAGUUCACCUUCCAGUAGGAGGAGGCGAUAGGCCGGGGUCUGCACAUGUGCGUGCUACAGCCUGUUCCACGGUGCGUGGCGUGCGGGGCAGUAGAGACAGGAUUUCACCAUGUUGGCUAGGAUGGUCUCGAUCUCCUGACCUUGUGAUCCGCCCCUCCCUCAGCCUCCCAAAGUGCUGGGAUUACAGGCGUGAGCCACUGCACCCUGCCAGAAAACUCAUUCUUCUACUCCAUCCUACAGUUUUCCCUAAGAGAGAAACAAUAAAACGCCACCACGACCAAUGGCAAAAAGCUGGCACCCACUCCACGACUUUUCAUAUCUACACGUUUGUACAGCUUUAUUUUUAAGCAUUCUGAAAUUCUAUGCAGGAGAGACCCCAGCUAGGUUUAGGGAGUCCUAGGGUUUGUGGAGUAAAUGAAGUUUCUCCCUAGAAUUAGGGAGGGUAGAGACAGGCAGAGAACUGACAAUCCUAACAGCUGCUGUCCUCAGAGCCACUGUUUCUGAGAGCUGCUCGCUGAGUGCUUCUAGCGAGUUAAAUGGUGUUCGCCCAAAAGACCUGUUCACGUCCUGAUCCUGGGAACCUGUGGCUGUGAUCUUAUUUGGAAAAAGCUCUACAUUACGUCUUUGCAGAAGUAAUCAUGUUAAGGAUCUUGAGAGGACGUGACCCUGAAUUAUCCGGCUGUGCUUGACAUCCAAUGACUGGUGAUGUUGUAAGAGAAAGACGGAGGGAGAUGUAAGAUAUGAGAGAAGGCCACGCCGAGACUGGAGUGAUGUGGCCGUGAGCCGAGGAAUGCCUGGAGCCACCAGAAGCUGGCAAAGGCAGAAGGAGCCUCCUCUGGACCCUGUGGUGGGUACGCAGCCUGGCAGAUAUAUUCAUUUUGGACUUCUGGCCUCCAGGGCUGUGAGAGAAUACAUUUCUGCAGUUUUAAGCCACGCAAUCUGUGUCCCUGGGAAGCCCAAAUAGGGCGAGACCUUUUGCCAAGUGGUCUCCAAGUGUCACGUCAUCGAAUCCUUCUCCCGGGCUUGUGCCAUAGUCUUUCCACUUUAGAGAGGAGGAAACGGAGGCUCUGGGGCACAAAGCCAGUCAGUGGCGGGGCCUGACUUUCAACCCAGCCUGCAUGGGGUCAGAGAACCCACUUUCCCCGUGGGGCCUGCGGCCUAUGCUAAGGAUGCUUGUUCAUCUCUCCUGGGCCCGGGAGUGGUUCUUCUGGCCUAGAAGGCAAGAGAAGCCAGUCUUUCGGUUUCAAGGUUUCCCAUUAGUGGAGUCAAGCAAAAAUGGUGUGUUGCGCUUCUUCCUGAGCUCAGCCUGGGAGCACGGCCUUAACAUGCUCAGUGGAUCCCAAGACGGCAGCAUGGCGGUGCCAGCCUGGCAGCCUUAGCUCCUUGCAGCUGUGCUUGUGAAGGGAGCAGUGAGUGGCUUCCCUCUGUGACCACCUUGGGUCCUAAGUUUCACUGGGGCUGGGAUCCAUGCGUCUUGCAAUUGGCUAGGAAUUUCCCGGGCUUUCCCUCCCUUCCCUGUUCAGGGCACUGGGUGUGAGGCAUUGCAUCCGUUCUUCUGCUCACCUGCUUCCCCCUAAGAGUGUGAGCUGUAUAAAGGCAGGAACCAAACAGGAGCCUCCACGUGUUCCCAGUUCAAGGGCAGUGUCCCUUGUGUGUUUCUUCAAUAAUUCAGUGGAUGACUUAUUCUGCACGGACACUGCACACACUCGGCCCUGCCGUCUCCGGAGCUGGGAGGUGUGGAGCUGGCUCCUGACCUAUUUACACACUGAGGAGGGAUGUGGAAAACAGGAGGAGUCCCAGGGCUCCAAUGCAAAGAGGAGCCUCUUCAUUCCCUCUGCCGUGGCCGUGCAAGGGACAGCGCCUUGUGGGAUUGUGUCCUCCACCCAAUUAUCCUUAGCAUUAGUUUGCUAAGGAUAAUGGCCUCCAGCUCCACCCAUGUCCCUGCAAAGGACAUGAUCUCAUUCCUUUCUGUGUCUGCAUAGUAUUCCAUGGUGUAUAUGUACCGCGUUUUCUUUAUCGAGUCUAUCAUUGAUGGGCGCUUCAGUUGAUUCCAUGUCUUUGCUACUGUGACUCGUGCUGCAAUGAGCAUUCGCGUGCAUGCCUUUAUGGUGGAAUUAUUUCUAUUCCUUUGGGUGCAUACCCAGUCAUGGGAUUGCUGGGUCAAAUGGCAUUUCUGCCUCUAGGUCUUUAAGGAAUUGCCACGCUGUCUUCCACAAUGCAAGCAAGACGUUAUUGAAAGUGUAAAGGGGGCUGCUAAUUACGCUGGGGCAGGCGGGGCAAACCAGGACCCUGCCAGGCGAGUCUAGGCCAUGGCCCCACACCAGAAGAUGAGGGCUGGAGACUCCUGGAGAGGAAUCUGAGUGGCGAGACCACCUGCAUUCAUUAUGUGUCAACUCUGCCAGGUGACAGUCCCCAGUGAGCCCAUCAAACAUGAACCUAGGUGCUGUUGGGAAGGUCUUUGGAUGCCAUUAACAUCUACAAUCAGUUGGUUUUCAGUAGAGGAGAUUAUCCUCAAGAAUGUGGGCGGGCCUCAUCCAGUGAGCUGAAAGGCCUUGAGAGCAGAACUAGGAUUUUGGAGGAGGAUGAAGUGUUGCCUCCGGACCGCAGCGUCACCUCUUGCCUGGGAAUUUCCAGCUUCCUUUUCAGACUUCGGACUUGCCUCCAAGCUCCCUGAAUCUUUUCAUAUAUUUAUGUCCUAUUGCAGAUUGUGUUUCUCUGGCUGGACUGUAACUGAUGAGGAGGACUGAAAUUCCAGGCUUGGUUGUAUAGCAUAUAAGUGAGGUCAUUUGGGUCUGGG
rnacentral:lncRNA from 1 species